UCAUGUGGAUUUAGCAAAGGGUUUCUUACAGAGUUUAUUGGCAUUCUGUCCACCUCCUAUCUUUAGAAAUUAGAAUAUCUCUUUCAUAUGGAGGUGGGCAUACUGCCAACCGAGCUCUGUUGGUCUCUCUUUGUAAAACCCUCGUGA
rnacentral:pre_miRNA from 1 species